UACAGAGGGUGCGAGCGUUGUCCGGAAUCACUGGGCGUAAAGGGCGCGUAGGUGGCGAGCCAAGUCCAUGGUGAAAGCUCGAUGCUCAACAUCGAGUCGGCCACGGAUACUGGUGCGCUUGAGCACUGUAGAGGCUAAUGGAAUUCCGGGUGUAGCGGUGGAAUGCGUAGAGAUCCGGAAGAACACCAGUGGCGAAGGCGGCCUGCUGGGCAGUUGCUGACGCUGAGGCGCGACAGCGUGGGGAGCAAACAGG
rnacentral:rRNA from 1 species